CAAUUUCAAGUAUUUGGGACUUGAUUAUUUAUUUGAAAAGUGAUUCUUUUAUCGAUUUUAAUUCCGAAAAAUGUCUAAAAAUUCCAGAAAAUUCCCGAAAAAUCAUUUUUAACCCAAGACUUGAUUUAAGAUCAAUUGGGAUGAGAAACCUUAUGUGUUGUGUGUUGUCUGCUAUUGGUUGGAUGUGUUAUGUGCCGAUAGGAGAGUGAGAAAACUGUUUUGAGCAUAACUUUUGAUCCGUAAGUCGGAAUCAAAUGAAACGAAAGAGAGACAGAAGCUUAUAACGUCUAUUUUAAUAUGAUGUGAUUAUAUGGCUGAGUCUAUAGGGUGAAUAAUUGUUGAUAAGUAUGCAUAAUGUGAUAAAAUGUGAUCUAAGUGCUACCAAGUGAUGAUUAUGUGAAGUACGUGUUAGUUUUGAUAUUGUGAAGUGAUAAAUGAUUGUACGAUUGAUAUUGGAUAAGAAUAUAUGGAUUAUAGUGAUUGGAUGUGGUUGGUUGAUUGUUGAUUGAGAUGGGAUAACAGGUAGAUAGUUUAAUAAAUAGACGAGACGAUGUCGGAUUUUCGAUAGGAUUCAUAUGAUAAUUGAUUGGUGAUAUGUUAUGUGGAAUAUGAUUGACUAUAUGUUAGAGUUAAAGCAUGCUUAUGUGUUACGUGGUAUCUGAUAAGUUUAAAGGGAUAUAUAAGUGGGUAUUGAUAUACGUGAGAUGUAUAUGCGAUCGAUUGUUUAGUGAUUAUAGUGUUAUCUUAUUCUCGUAAAGGAUUUGGACGAGACGUGUAUGCCCGAAGACGUUCAGAAAGUCACGUGGUGUUACAAAGCGAAUAAGGGAUGAAUCGAGUAAGCGAAGCGAAGAUGUACGGUAGAUAGAGUAUAGCCAGAGAUGGUCUAGAGACUAUGAGAUGCAUAGAUUGUGAAAGUGGAAAGAUGAGAUUGAGAUGUGAGACUGGAGUCAGAUUUAAGAAAGGCUUAAAGAUGAGUGGCUAGACUGUGAUGGUGAAUAAGGCUAAUGCUAGGCGAGGAGACAGAGUUGAGGAUCCAGUGAUUGAGGAGUGUUCAGGAAAGUUGAUGAGGUUGAUGCAAGCUAGAGCUGUGCUAUAAGGAUUCAAGUGUAAGUCAUAGCUGGAAUAGUUGACAGUGAUUCUUCUUAUCGAAGAUGAUCUGAUUUGGUAAGAGAUGUUGUGUAAUAAUAGUGGUUGAUUCUAAUUUCAAUACUGUAACCUGGAAGCGAUCCUGCUGUUUUAAGGGGGUUAAAGUGUUCUUUUUUAAAUCUUUUAUUUAACGUCUUUCAAAUCCUUUAUUAAAUGUUUUCAAGUUUUAAAUUCUUUUGGAUUUUCAUUAUCUCUUAUUAUAAAAAAAAAAAAAUUACAGGAUUUCAAAAGUGUUUAAAAAUGGGUUUUAUGUGGUGACGUCAGAAUCCAGACCCCCGGAUUCUCGGGCUGUCACAGUUGGUAUCAGAGCAACAGGUUACAAGUUAUUGGAAUUUGAAUAUAGAUUAUAGUUUUAAGUUUUAUAUAGGUUAGACGUUGUGUGACCUCGUAUCGAGGUAUUGUGAGACUAUUUGGACAUAGUCUAGAGAUGUGAGUGAAGCAUAGAGUCUAGUUAGAUGAUCAAGUUAAGUGUGGAUAUUUAAAAAGAUUAGGAUUCUUAAGUUUAGACAUAUGAUUUCUAGUAUGUUGAUUAAUUGAGAUGGUGAAUUGUGGAAAAGGUCAAGAUUAGACCUAGAUUGAAGAGUUUGAUAGUGAAUGAUUGAAUUGAGAAUGGUGAAAAUGCAGAGUUCAGAGUAUUCUGACUAUACUGCAUAUUUGAAAUUGGAUUAUUGUAUUGAUUUGAGGAUGAUAUAAAUGCAUGGUUCAUAGUAUGUUGACCAUGUCAGAUAUUUGGAAGAUGUAUAUUGUUUUGAGUGAAGAUAUGAAGAGUAAGUGUAGAGUAUGAGUUGUGUGGGAUUAGAAGAAGAGAUUUGUAGAUAGAGGUUGAUAGAUGAGAAGUGAAUGAUAGAGAGUACGUGGAAUUGAGUCCAGUUAUUAGAGAUGAUGUCUACGAGUAAGUUAGAACGUUAGUCCUCGACGACAACGCUUCGAGCUAAUCGGGAUUUCAAAUGGCAUCAAGGUGGGCCCAUAACCCACAGGUUGAUGAUCCAGACAAUCAAAGAUACGUUACGUGUUUGUGCUAUGGAUUUCAAAGGCAACUGGGAUAAAGUUGAAGAAUGUAAACUACUUGGGCCAGACUUAUUAUGAACUAUAACGUCUACGAUGACAUCUUACGAGGCUAUUACGAGUCAAAUCGAUUGAUUAUCAAGAACGUUGAAAAGAAGACAUAUAUCGAACAAUGAUUUAUUGAGGCGGAACGAAAAUCUGAGAAGACCUUGGCAAUACCUCUCUUCAACUAAGAUUCUUUUGUAUUGUUUUUCUCAUCAGUGAGAUAUUAUCAUGAUAUCUUUUCUACAAAAGUUUUGAUAAAUGAGAUCUUCAAUUUCUCAAAUUCUAAGAUGACAUUGAUAUUGAUGAUUGAUGUGAGUUGGAAAACAAAGAUGUGUGAUAAAGGAUUGUUGUGAAGAGACAGUGAUGUUCCUUGAUAUUGUUUGACAUUUCUUGACAUUCCUUGAUACCCUUUCAUCUACCUUGAUAUCCCUUAGUGUUCUUUGAUAUUGUUGAUAUUCCUUGAUAUUCUCUGGUAUUCCUUAACAUUUCUUCAACUUGAUUGGGAUGAACAACCCUAUUUAUAGGGGACACAAGGUAUACCUGUCUGUGUGAUAGGAGUUGGAUGGGACGCCAUCACUUGUGUGUGUUGUGAUUACAAGAAGGUUAACAACCUUUAGUAGUGUCUAAUGUGGACACGCAACACCAAGUUCGUUGAUCAUAUAGAUCUCUCAAUCACUCCUUUAUUCAAAUGUGAUCUACCUUGAAAACAUUUUGUUCUAUUCAAAAUUCCAAAAGAUUGAUUCUUGGGAAAUGAAUUUUGCAAUUGUAAAAGUGUGAUUCUCUGAUAUUUUUAAAGACAAAGGUAUGCCAAGAUCGAUCAAAGGUGUAUGAUGAUACGUUAUGACGAAGCGUAUAAUGGAAUCUUAUAAAUGAUACGUUUUAGUUCUCAUCGCGGAUUCUGAGGACAGAAUCCUUAUAAGGGGGGUAGAAUGUAAUAUCCCAUAUUAUUAAAUUUAGAAUUGUUUAUUAUAAAUCUAUUUGUCUAAAUAUUAUUGUUGGCUUUAGUUGAAAAGUGAAUUGAUUAUGUGAAUAGCUUUAUAUGAUUACACCUGUUUUGUGGAUUAAUAUGGAUUUUACAAAUAUUGCAUCCUCCUUCUUUCUCUGAUUCCGAGGACGGAAUCCCUAUAAGGAGGGUAGAUUGUAAUGACCCGGAUUUUUUUAAAAAUAUUUUUAUUAGUAUUAAAAGUGAUUUUUCUUUAAAGAAGGGAAUAAGAUUUAAUAUUUUAUUCCAGUUUAAGGAGUUUUCAAAAUUUUAUACUAAACCCCGGGUUAUUGUGUUAUUGAUAAAUGAUUAUAUUUUUAAAACUGAUUUUCAUAUAUUGUUUCGAAAAUUCUAGAUGAUUAUUAUGUGAAUAUAUGUGUGAUGUGAGUAAGUGGUAUUGGUGGAAUUGUUGGUUAAUUAAUUAUGGUUAAUUAUGAGUAUUAUAUGGUUAAUAUAUGAAUUUUUGUGAAUUUUAUAUUAUCUGGUUUAUUGCGUUAACUGCUCAUAUGUGUUAGUAUUUGAGAGAUUUCAAUUUCUAUAUGCUCAGGAGAAAAUAUAGUUUAUUUGGAUAUUUUCAUAUCGAUUUAUGGAAUGUUAGAUGAUUUUAUAAUCGAUUUACGGAUUUAAUUGCGUAUAUUUAUAUUUAUUUAUUAAUUAUUUGACUUCCGUAAAACCGUCCACUCGUAACGAGGUAGCAAAUUUUCUUCCCGGAAGUUUCAACAAAACUGACCUUUAGCCUAAUUUGAAUAUUCCGGACACUUUUCGUGUUUUGACUUUUUCGAUCCGGAGUACGGUUUUUCCCGAAGUCGGUCCGGCGGAGUUUUUCGGGUAUUUUAAUUGUUGAUAAUUAUCCAGUUUGUCUCGAUAUACGUGAAAGCUAGAUAUUUUGAUUAUUAUAUUCAUUCUUAUCUUGUAAUAAUUGCAAUGGGACCCGCAUACUAAUGACUGAUUAAAAAGCCCCGUUUUGAUGAUUAUCUUGAAAACCAGUACCGAUUGGACCCUGCUUUAUUAAUAUAAAGCUACUAAAUACGUAUUUUCAUGUCAUAAACGAUUCAAAGGGGUACCAAUUAUUCGUAAAUAUAAAUAGUCCUUCCUACACUUUAUUUUCAACCGAAAAUCAUUUUCACCAGUUUCUUUCCACGAAUACCGAGAGAAACCGAGCGGUGUUCUUCGUGUUCUUCAUAAUCAAACGAAGAUUUGAAGGUGUUAUUGGAGUCAGAAUCAAGCGUGCAAAUAGUCAAAUCGAAGAUAUUGAAGAGUAGAACCCAAAUCAAUCAUCAAAAACAACAUGAGAUUCACAGGAUUUGGACGAGACGUGUAUGCCCGAAGACGUUCAGAAAGUCACGUGGUGUUACAAAGCGAAUAAGGGAUGAAUCGAGUAAGCGAAGCGAAGAUGUACGGUAGAUAGAGUAUAGCCAGAGAUGGUCUAGAGACUAUGAGAUGCAUAGAUUGUGAAAGUGGAAAGAUGAGAUUGAGAUGUGAGACUGGAGUCAGAUUUAAGAAAGGCUUAAAGAUGAGUGGCUAGACUGUGAUGGUGAAUAAGGCUAAUGCUAGGCGAGGAGACAGAGUUGAGGAUCCAGUGAUUGAGGAGUGUUCAGGGAAGUUGAUGAGGUUGAUGCAAGCUAGAGCUGUGCUAUAAGGAUUCAAGUGUAAGUCAUAGCUGGAAUAGUUGACAGUGAUUCUUCUUAUCGAAGAUGAUCUGAUUUGGUAAGAGAUGUUGUGUAAUAAUAGUGGUUGAUUCUAAUUUCAAUACUGUAACCUGGAAGCGAUCCUGCUGUUUUAAGGGGGUUAAAGUGUUCUUUUUUAAAUCUUUUAUUUAACGUCUUUCAAAUC